rnacentral:rRNA from 1 species
UAAGGAAUAUUGCGCAAUGGGGGAAACCCUGACGCAGCAACGCCGCGUGGAGGAUGACACUUUUCGGAGCGUAAACUCCUUUUAUCAGGAAAGAAUAAUGACGGUACCUGAUGAAUAAGCACCGGCUAACUCCGUGCCAGCAGCCGCGGUAAUACGGGGGGUGCAAGCGUUACUCGGAAUCACUGGGCGUAAAGGACGCGUAGGCGGAUUAUCGAGUCUUUUGUGAAAUCUAGUGGCUUAACCACUAAACUGCUUAGGAAACUGAUAGUCUAGAGUAGGGGAGAGGUAGAUGGAAUUCUUGGUGUAGGGGUAAAAUCCGUAGAGAUCAAGAAGAAUACCCAUUGCGAAAGCGAUCUGCUGGAACCUAACUGACGCUGAGGCGUGAAAGCGUGGGUAGCAAACAGG